rnacentral:rRNA from 2 species
UGAUUUCCCUAGUAACGGCGAGUGAAGAGGAAAGAGCUCAAAGUUGGAACCUGUUUGGCCUAGCUAAACCGGAUUGUAGACUGUAGAAGUGUUUUCCAGGCAAGCCGAGUAAAUAAGUCCUUUGGAACAGGGCAUCAUAGAGGGUGAGAAUCCCGUCUUUGGCUUGAGCAUUUGCCUUUUGUGAUACGCUUUCAAAGAGUCAGGUUGUUUGGGAAUGCAGCCUAAAUUGGGUGGUAAAUCUCACCUAAAGCUAAAUAUUGGCGAGAAACCGAUAGCGAACAAGUACCGUGAGGGAAAGAUGAAAAGAACUUUGAAAAGAGAGUUAAACAGUAUGUGAAAUUGUUAAAAGGGAACCGUUUGGAGCCAGACUGGCUUGUCUGUAAUCAAUCUAGGCUUCGGCCUGGAUGCACUUGCAGGCUAUGCCUGCCAACGACAAUUUGACUUGAGGGAAAAAACUAGGGGAAAUGUGGCCCACUUGUGGGUGUUAUAGUCCCUUAGAAAAUACCUUGGGUUGGAUUGAGGAACGCAGCGAAUGCUUUUUGGCGAGUUUUCCAGGAAGGUUUUCUGAGGUACUACGGUAUCAAGGUUGAUCUUUUUGGUUAUACUUCUAUUCGCUUAGGUUGUUGGCUUAAUGACUCUAAAUGACC